rnacentral:rRNA from 1 species
GAUGAACGCUGGCGGCGUGCCUAAUACAUGCAAGUCGAGCGAACGGACGAGAAGCUUCCUUCUCUGAUGUUAGCGGCGGACGGGUGAGUAACACGUGGAUAACCUACCUAUAAGACUGGGAUAACUUCGGGAAACCGGAGCUAAUACCGGAUGAUAUUUUGAACCGCAUGGUUCAAAAGUGAAAGACGGUCUUGCUGUCACUUAUAGAUGGAUCCGCGCUGCAUUAGCUAGUUGGUAAGGUAACGGCUUACCAAGGCAACGAUGCAUAGCCGACCUGAGAGGGUGAUCGGCCACACUGGAACUGAGACACGGUCCAGACUCCUACGGGAGGCAGCAGUAGGGAAUCUUCCGCAAUGGGCGAAAGCCUGACGGAGCAACGCCGCGUGAGUGAUGAAGGUCUUCGGAUCGUAAAACUCUGUUAUUAGGGAAGAACAUAUGUGUAAGUAACUGUGCACAUCUUGACGGUACCUAAUCAGAAAGCCACGGCUAACUACGUG